GACGAACGCUGGCGGCGUGCUUAACACAUGCAAGUCGAACGGAAAGGCCCUGCUUUUGUGGGGUGCUCGAGUGGCGAACGGGUGAGUAACACGUGAGUAACCUGCCCUUGACUUUGUGAUAACUUCAGGAAACUGGGGCUAAUACCGGAUAGGAGCUCCUGCUGCAUGGUGGUGGUUGGAAAGUUUCGGCGGUUGGGGAUGGACUCGCGGCUUAUCAGCUUGUUGGUGGGGUAGUGGCUUACCAAGGCUUUGACGGGUAGCCGGCCUGAGAGGGUGACCGGCCACAUGGGGACUGAGAUACGGACCAGAAUCCUACGGGAGGCAGCAGUGGGGAAUAUUGCACAAUGGGCGGAAGCCUGAUGCAGCAACGCCGCGUGCGGGAUAACGGCCUUCGGGUUGUAAACCGCUUUCGCCUGUGACGAAGCGUGAGUGACGGUAAUGGGUAAAGAAGCACCGGCUAACUACGUG
rnacentral:rRNA from 1 species